GACCUACUACAACCCAGGCAUGUGCCCUGACUAGGACUUGAACAAGCGACCCUUUGGUUCGCAGGCCAGUGUUCAAUCCACUGAGCCACACACCAGCCAGGGAUAAUACACCCUACUCCUGAGAAGAUAAUUUUGUGUAGAUUACUAAAUGAUGAUUAUCACAUAGCCCAUAAAAACAGCGUUUGUAUUUAUUGAGAGAUGUCAUUACUUAAUGAAACAUACUGAGUUGAAAACAUUUUGCAGUUUUGUAUUGUCUAUAUCAUGUUAAAAAUUUAUAAACCUCAUCUGUACAGUGAUGAGAUUUGCUUUCUAUCCAGAUACUUUCUUUUGUAAAUGUGAUUAAUCUUAGGAAUACUCACUCUGGGAGAUUCCUUAUAUAUAAGAAAGCAGAAAUAAGAGUCGAACUUGUUCAUAGGAAGUUACCAAAUGGUGUUCUAAAAUUUGGUUACUGGGUUUUGGACAAUUUCCCUCAAUAGGAUGAUGUAAAUAGUGACUAGAUGACAAGGUUUGUCUAUAGGAACCAUAAUGUGUAAGUUACAUGAUUACUAAAGCAAAACAAAAAUGCAAUCUUUUAGUUUAAAGAAAAGUGCCACUGGCCACUUUGCAGUACACUACAGCCUUCAUUAUUCCUAACACCCCAUUAGCCUAGGACAGUGCUUUUUUAUUCACACACACAGCUCCAUGUCUAGAAGCAGCCUAGCCCAAGCAUGCAAUUCACAUCUGGUCUCCACCCCCUCCAGCCGGAGCACUAAAAAAGGAUAUUGUGGUUCCCCAUCUUGGGUUCAGAAUCUCCAUCUCUGGGGUCUAUUUUAAAUGCAAUUUAGAUGCAGUUCUGUGGCAGAAAAUAUAAAAGAUUUUGGUCACCAAUGAGCAGUACCCCAGCGCCCUUUCCAUAAGUAAGAGAAUGCUUUCUACUCGUUUCAAGCAGUGUGGUUUCAAAAUGAGUUGGAAGAACAGCAAAAAUUCUUUACAUUGUAAACAAUGAAGUUAUUUUUUAAAAAAGUGAAGUGU